AAAAGGUAAAUAAGGGCACUAAUAGUGGAUGCCUUGACAAUCAAUACCGAUGAAGGACGUAGAACUCUGCGAUAAGUCUUGGGGAGCUGAGAGCAAGCUUUGAUCCAGGAAUUUCCGAAUGGGGCAACCUAAUACGAGUCAUGUCGUAUUGCAAUUACCUGAACACAUAGGGUAAUUAGACGGGAACCAACCGAACUGAAUCAUCUUAGUAGGUUGAGGAAAAGAGAAUAAACAAUGAUUCCGAAAGUAGUGGCGAGCGAAAUUGGAACAGCCUAAACCUUAACAUAACCAUACGGUUUAACGGCCAGAGUUAUGAAAGGGGUUGCGAAAUAAGAUAAUUUUUAUGCUGAGGUAUUGGAAAUCCGAUAUUUCAGUAUAAAAACCAACAUCGUUAAAUGAGUGGAUAAUGUUAUAAAACUUAGAUCAUAGCGGAAGUGUUUGAAUGGCACACCAAAGAAGGUGAGAGUCCUGUAUGCGAAAUGGUCUUAGACAUUAUAUAUCUUUUUUCAAGUAGGACGGGGCACGAGAAACCCUGUUUGAAUCUGGCAGGACCACCUGCCAAGGCUAAAUAUAUUGAUUGAUCGAUAGCGAACUAGUACAGUGAUGGAAAGGUGAAAAGAACCCCGGGAGGGGAGUGAAAUAGAUCCUGAAACUUAGUGCCUACAAGGUGUCGGAGCAGCUUCGGCUGUGACGGCGUGCUUUUUGUAGAACGAUCCAGCGAGUUAAUGUUGUCGGCGAGGCUAAGUCAAAUGAUGGAGCCACAGUGAAAGCGAGCCUUAACAGGGCGACAAGUCGGCAGUAUUAGACCCGAAACCGGGUGACCUAACCAUGAGCAGGUUGAAGCUGCAGUAACAUGCAGUGGAGGACCGAACCAGGAUACGCAGUAAAGUGUUUGGAUGACUUGUGG
rnacentral:rRNA from 1 species